rnacentral:misc_RNA from 1 species
GAACGCACAUUGCGCCCGCGAGUAUUCUCGCGGGCAUGCCUGUUCGAGCGUCAUUUCAACCAUCAAGCCCCCGGCUUGUGUUGGGGACCUGCGGCUGCCGCAGGCCCUGAAAUCCAGUGGCGGGCUCGCUGUCGCACCGAGCGUAGUAGCAUACUUCUCGCUCCGGGAGCGCGGCGGGCGCCUGUCGUAAAACCCCCCACAUACCAAAGGUUGACCUCGGAUCAGGUAGGAAUACCCGCUGAACUUAAG